AAGAAAAAAAAAAAAAGCAAUAGUAUAUAUGACCUAAAGGGAAUCAAAAUGUACAAAAACGAAAAGUUCAAUAUUUAUUUGUUUGCUUUAUUAAGCAUUUAUUUCAAUGUAAGUUGUUUAAUUUUUUUGUGCUAACACUUUCUCUUUAAUUCUAUAGAUAGAAAUUCUUGUUUAAUAGCAAAGUUGUCUGGAAUUUACAAAAAAAAAAAAAAAAAAAAGAGGAAGAAGCAGUGAAAUUAUUACAGAAUAAAGGGAUUCCUCAUAGCUGAAAAUUUUGUAAAAAUAAUCCUGAAAUGAUGUGUUUUACAUAUUACGAUACACCAAAAUAACGUUUCAAUCUUAAUCUUUCCCAGAUCUCGCACUUGGUUUGAAGGAUCGCAUCUAAAUUUCCUCGAGCUGUAAAAUUUAUGUACCAUUGCUACCAUGGACUGACCUCAGUUGAGUUUUGUAAUAUGCAAUACAGUUGUUGAUUGGGACAAUUAUAUGCGGAAAUUUUUUCAACCAUUUUAUAUCUAGUGUGCUGCAAAAAAAGACUGAUACUUGUCAUCCCUUGGAAUAGUACAUUUUAUGUAUAAUCAGUGCUUAAACUCAGAUUGGAUAAGCUGCCUCUUAGCAUCUAAGUGGAAUUGUAAUUCAGGACGAUGCCUCAAAUAAGACGAGUCUUCCAUAGGGCUCCAGCACUUCUAAUUUUAGAUAGCAUGGAACAAUAAGUCCUCAAGAGUUAAUGGGAACGAAAGAGGGGUAGAUGAUCUUUGGAUCUAUCUCCUGGUCAUUGUUUCAAAAUGAGACAGAACUGGGCACAUACAGUGGAUGGACAAAAAUAUGGAAACACCUUGUGAAAUGCAUGUUUGAAAAGAAAGAUUGAUUUUAAUGAAAUAUGUAGGUGGCGCUGGCAUUUUUGACUACUGACGCCAC